rnacentral:rRNA from 1 species
CAGUAGCCGCGGUAAUACGAGGGGGGCAAGCGUUGUUCGGAAUUAUUGGGCGUAAAGGGUGCGUAGGCGGUUUGAUAAGUCAUCUGUGAAAUCUCUGGGCUCAACCCAGAGUCUGCAGGCGAAACUGUCGGGCUUGAGUAUGGGAGAGGUGAGUGGAAUUUCCGGUGUAGCGGUGAAAUGCGUAGAUAUCGGAAGGAACACCUGUGGCGAAAGCGGCUCACUGGACCAUAACUGACGCUGAUGCACGAAUGCUAGGGGAGCAAACAGGAUUAGAUACCCGAGUAGUCCCUGUCUCUUAUAC